rfam:Picea glauca, whole genome shotgun sequence.
AAAAAGGCCCUUUUCAGGGCCACCAUAUAUUAUUCAUACGUUCGCGG